GACGAACCGUACGAACGUUAUUCGGAAUCACUGGGCUUAAAGGGUGCGUAGGCGGCGCGGAAAGUAGGGUGUGAAAUCCCUCGGCUCAACCGAGGAAUUGCGCCCUAAACUACCGUGCUUGAGGGAGAUAGAGGUGAGCGGAACUUAGGGUGGAGCGGUGAAAUGCGUUGAUAUCCUAAGGAACACCGGUGGCGAAAGCGGCUCACUGGAUCUCUUCUGACGCUGAGGCACGAAAGCUAGGGUAGCGAACGGG
rnacentral:rRNA from 1 species